rnacentral:rRNA from 1 species
GACGAACGCUGGCGGCGUGCUUAACACAUGCAAGUCGAACGGAAAGGCCCUGCUUUUGUGGGGUGCUCGAGUGGCGAACGGGUGAGUAACACGUGAGUAACCUGCCCUUGACUUUGGGAUAACUUCAGGAAACUGGGGCUAAUACCGGAUAGGAGCUCCUGCUGCAUGGUGGGGGUUGGAAAGUUUCGGCGGUUGGGGAUGGACUCUCGGCUUAUCAGCUUGUUGGUGGGGUAGUGGCUUACCAAGGCUUUGACGGGUAGCCGGCCUGAGAGGGUGACCGGCCACAUUGGGACUGAGAUACGGCCCAGACUCCUACGGGAGGCAGCAGUGGGGAAUAUUGCACAAUGGGCGGAAGCCUGAUGCAGCAACGCCGCGUGCGGGAUGACGGCCUUCGGGUUGUAAACCGCUUUCGCCUGUGACGAAGCGUGAGUGACGGUAAUGGGGAAAGAAGCACCGGCUAACUACGU